rnacentral:rRNA from 1 species
UACGUAGGGGGGCAAGCGUUUGUCCGGAAUCAUUGGGCGUAAAGCGCGUGUAGGCGGCUCGAUAAGUCUGCUGUGAAAGUUCAGGGCUCAACCCUGAAAUGCCGGUGGAAACUGUCGGGCUAGAGUCCGGAAGAGGCGAGUGGAAUUCCUGGUGUAGCGGUGAAUGCGCAGAUAUCAGGAGGAACACCAAUGGCGAAGGCAGCUCGCUGGGACGGUACUGACGCUGAGACGCGAAAGCGUGGGGAGCAAACAGG